rnacentral:rRNA from 1 species
GACGAACGCUGGCGGCGUGCCUAAUACAUGCAAGUAGAACGCACAGUUUAUACCGUAGCUUGCUACACCAUAGACUGUGAGUUGCGAACGGGUGAGUAACGCGUAGGUAACCUGCCUGGUAGCGGGGGAUAACUAUUGGAAACGAUAGCUAAUACCGCAUAAUAUUAAUUAUUGCAUGAUAAUUAAUUGAAAGGUGCAAUUGCACCACUACCAGAUGGACCUGCGUUGUAUUAGCUAGUAGGUGAGGUAACGGCUCACCUAGGCGACGACACAUAGCCGACCUGAGAGGGUGAUCGGCCACACUGGGACUGAGACACGGCCCAGACUCCUACGGGAGGCAGCAGUAGGGAAUCUUCGGCAAUGGACGAAAGUCUGACCGAGCAACGCCGCGUGAGUGAAGAAGGUUUUCGGAUCGUAAAGCUCUGUUGUAAGAGAAGAACGGGUGUGAGAGUGGAAAGUUCACACUGUGACGGUAGCUUACCAGAAAGGGACGGCUAACUACGUG